UCCCUGGUGGCUAAGAUGGUGAAGCAUCUGCCGGCAAUGCAGGAGACCCAGGUUCGAUCCCUGGGUUGGGAA
rnacentral:tRNA from 1 species